CCCCUCGGGAUCGAGGACUCCUGCUCGGUGCGCGGCAGGCGGCACGAAGGGGUCGGGGCUCAGGUGCCUCACCAGGUCCAGGGGGAGGCAGGUGAGGAAGGCGUGGCGCCCCUGGGCAGCGGUCGCGCCUGCCCCGGAGGAGGUGGGCUCUUCUGGGACAGAGCGGACGGGGCUGGGGCGGGGAGGUGAUGCCGAGAGCGGGAACCCUGCAGAGCCCGCGCAGGAUGGGCCACAAGCCGCAUUUCGGCCCGCCCUCGGAGCCUCAGGCGUCCCAAGUGGUCGCGUGGAAGGAAGCCCGGCGUCACCUCAGGAAUCCCUGUGUGCCAGGGGGGAGCGGUAGCCCCCCCUCGGGGAAGAACCAUGUGUGCCAGCCUUGAGUCCCAGCUCCCUGGUGGCAGGAAAGGCCCUGCUCCAUGCGUCACAGGGCCGCCCGGCGCUGUGGCCUCCUAAGGCGGCCUGGGGACCCCCUCCUGCCGUUCAAGUCCCGUGCAAUGCCCUGCUUCUGAACGGGGGGUGCCCCUGGGGGCGUCUGCCUAGGCAACCUAAGGGAAGGUGGUGUCCUGGGACCAGGUCACAAGAGACUGAGGCUCCCAGGCUGCCGGCUCUGUUUCCCCUGGGCUUGCACACGUUCGUGGAGCCAGCUGCCAUGAGAGAGGCCCCCAGGGCCGGCAGGCAGUGAGAAGUGGAGACUUCCGGUCCAGCAGCCCCGGAAGAACCACGUGAGCUGGGAGGCGGGUCUUGCCCCAUAGAGCUUUCAGGACAGCAGGCACAUUGAUUCAGGACCCACCCACACGACCUCAUUUUACCAUCUCCAAGUACAGUCACGUGCUGGAGCGCCAGGGUGAGCACUCAGCGUGAACUUUGAUGGGAUGCUUUCCUGACCUUCAGUACCAGCACCUUGGUUUUUAUCUGGGCACUUUUCCACUUAGUUAAAAUACAUCGCCCACCAUCCCUUUUAGUGGACAGUAGCCACAUGACUAGAUACAUUCUAGCGAAUGAGCUGUGAGCAGAAGUGAUGAUGGGUGUUGGUCCUAGAGAGUGUCCUGCCGCCUGAAGGUGGGGUAUGUUGGCUGGCACUUGAGCAGUGGGUUUGGAUCACGAGCAUGAACACCAACCACAUCCUGGGACCGUGGAGCUGCAAGGAACUGGGGUCCAGGCGACUGGGUGAAGCCAGGCCAGCCUGGCCUGCCUGUCUCAUGGAAAUCAGGGAGGAAUAUAAUUCUGUUUUGUUUAAAACA